GUGGUGGAGAAGACUUGCGAGAUCACGGCAGGCCCGUGUCCUUUCGGUUUCCGGCCUUUUGCUGGUUAGGACGGCGUGGACGUGGCUGGCGUGUCGUAGCCUACCCCAGUGAGGCGGCCUAUGCGGCGGGCCUUGGCUUUUCAUUUGCUUUGGGAAAAAUGGAGGCCACGUUGAUGCCAGAAGGGAUUGAUUGGCCUUUGAAACUGAGAAAUGGAAGAGCAGAAAACGAUGCUGUCUGCUUUUGGACCCUGAAAAAAAGCAGAUGAAAAAGUCUUCUUGGAAAUGUUAAGAUUGUUGGAUCUUCUAACUUCCACCUUCAAAGA
rnacentral:lncRNA from 1 species